GUGCCAGCAGCCGCGGUAAUACGGAAGANCCGAGCGUUAUCCGGAUUUAUUGGGUUUAAAGGGAGCGUAGGCGGGCGUUUAAGUCAGUGGUCAAAGCGUGUGGCUCAACCAUACCACGCCAUUGAUACUGGAUGCCUUGAGUGCACAUAAGGAUGGUGGAAUUCAUGGUGUAGCGGUGAAAUGCUUAGAUAUCAUGAAGAACUCCGAUUGCGAAGGCAGCUGUCCGGGGUGUAACUGACGCUAAUGCUCGAAAGUGCGGGUAUCAAACAGGAUUAGAUACCCUGGUAGUCCGCACAGUAAACGAUGGAUACUCGCAGUUCGCGAUAUAUUGUGAGCUGCCAAGCGAAAGCAUUAAGUAUCCCACCUGGGGAGUACGCCGGCAACGGUGAAACUCAAAGGAAUUGACGGGGGCCGCACAAGCGGAGGAACAUGUGGUUUAAUUCGAUGAUACGCGAGGAACCUUACCCGGGCUUGAACUGCGCAGGACGGUCCCAGAGAUGGGACUUUCUUCGGACCUGCGUGGAGGUGCUGCAUGGUUGUCGUCAGCUCGUGCCGUGAGGUGUCGGCUUAAGUGCCAUAACGAGCGCAACCCUCGUCUUCAGUUGCCAUCAGGUCAUGCUGGGCACUCUGUGGAUACUGCCAUCGCAAGAUGUGAGGAAGGUGGGGAUGACGUCAAAUCAGCACGGCCCUUACGUCCGGGGCUACACACGUGUUACAAUGGGGGGUACAGAAGGCCGCUACCCGGCGACGGGAUGCCAAUCUCCAAAACCCUUCUCAGUUCGGACUGGAGUCUGCAACCCGACUCCACGAAGCUGGAUUCGCUAGUAAUCGCGCAUCAGCCAUGGCGCGGUGAAUACGUUCCCGGGCCUUGUACACACCGCCCGU
rnacentral:rRNA from 1 species